rnacentral:rRNA from 1 species
UACGUAGGGUGCGAGCGUUGUCCGGAAUUAUUGGGCGUAAAGGGCUCGUAGGCGGUUUGUCGCGUCGGGAGUGAAAUCCACUGGCUUAACUGGUGGCUUGCUUUCGAUACGGGCAGACUGGAGGUAUGCAGGGGAGAACGGAAUUCCUGGUGUAGCGGUGAAAUGCGCAGAUAUCAGGAGGAACACCAAUGGCGAAGGCAGCUCGCUGGACGGUACUGACGCUGAGACGCGAAAGCGUGGGAGCAAACAGG